GGACCAGGAAUUCCAGAGGCAGCUCAUUCAGGCAUGCGUGUGGCUGGGUCUCCUUCUCAAGCCUCCAUCCAUCCAGGCGAAUAGAAGCUGAAGCUCAAGAGUUCAGAAGGCGAGAGUGACUUCCACCAGAGGAGGAGUUACCAGGGUUGGAAGGCAGCGAGGCUGGGCACCAGGCUUUCUCUGUGAAGCAGUCAGGAGAGGAGGAGGCAGACUCGUUAAGCUGUGACUCAGAGCACAGAGAAGAAAACCACCAGGUCGCCGUCACCAGCUGUGGGGCAGGCGCCUGGGGAGUGGCGGCCUGUGCUGCUUACUGGUGUAGGUCAGCUGGAAGCCGAGGUCCGUGCCCGAGCCGUUGGUGUUGAACUCCAGCCACAGGUGGUUGGAGGUGCUGUUGAGGAGGAGCCCCAGCAGCUCAUUCCUCGUGAAGGUUCCCAGCGGGCGCGACGAGCUGUCUUUUCCAUCAUACACCUAACGAAAAUUCACAGCGUAAGUCACUCUCCUCCUUAAUUCAGCUUUUUGGGUGGCAGUUCUGACAAAGCACCCAAACGCUCAAAAGGGCAGCUCUGCACAGCACAGUCAACGGUCACAGGGGUUUGGAAGCCAGCGGGUGACAAGGCGAAACCACCUGUGUCUCCUUGCCUUUGCCUCUGGCUGCAGAGUGGGGCCCACCUGCAUCCCCCACGACCGCUCUCCCAGGGCCCUCUCUGAGGAAGGCUAAAUGCGUCCUGUGCUGCUCUGCAGUGGCGCCCAGAGUGGCUAGAGACUCCAGCGGACCCCGCCUGGCACCACCUGGCAGGCCUGGAUCUGAGCAGGCACUGGGCCGUGUGAUGCCACCUGGAGACUGCCAGGUGGACCUCGGGCUUUGCAGAGGGUCCCACAACUUGGGGCCCCACCCCACAGUCUCUGUGCUGACCUGGGCCCCUCUGACUUAAGAACAAGGAUGUCCUGUCCUGCAGGUGGUGCUGCAGACUCCUGUACUCCAGGGAAGGUGGUGCACUGAAUGAGAAAGCCACCUUGCACCUAUGGGCUUUGUAAAUUAAUGAAAAUGUAUCACGGUAUAAUGAAGAACAUCCACUUUUUCUUGCUAAAAGAGACUAAAUAAAGGUCACCAAAGUCCUCCAUGGCAUCUGUCGCACUGCCCUGACCCCUGCCCUCUCUCAGUGUGUGAACAGUCACAUUUGUCCCUCAGCUGGACACACCCACGUGCAGCCACAUAAAAGAAAAUGCAUUUGAAUUGA